GUUUUGUGUGAUCGCUACAAUCUCUUCCCUUCCAAUAGGACAACCUCUGACCAUGUGAUUUCCUUGACUUUGUCUUCUCUACUGAGGCACUGUUUGUCUUUAUCAAUUCUAUUUUUCUAGAUUUUAUUUGGCAACUGGGAGCAUGUUUGCCUCCUGGCAAUCUUAUCAAUACUGGGUAGUUUAAGAAAGAUCAACAACAAAGAAAAUAUCAAAGAGUCUGCAGUGGCUUGACUUCACCCCUGGACUUUCAGAUGGCCGUUCUUGUUCCAGCCACUUUCCUUAUUCAAUGUCCCUCUUGGGUGGAGGAGUAAAUCACAGUAAGAUCAGGAAUAACAGUGGAUCCUAUUGGCUGUGGCUUUGUUUUCAGAGCUGGGUUUGACUGCUACUCUCAGAAUGAAGAACCCUCCCUCAGAACCUCUGAAGGGUGAUGCUCUUGAGGGCUCGGCUGCCAGCAAGCAUGGGUGUCAAGUCUUCGGCCACGGUAACACCUCAAGCGUCAUGAAACAGAGGAUUCUCCAAAGAAAAGCACGGCUCAGCAAAUGGAGACUAGCGUGCAGAUUCCCUGGCCUUCAAGCUUAGGGUCCAGAGAUACCAAGUACUUGUGGAACGAAGAAAAGAAGAAACCCCAUUAUAAAAAGUCGCUUUUCCACUUGAUGAAAAAAAUCUAAACCAGCAAAUCAAGUUAAAGCCCCCAAGAAAACUCUAGAGGGUCCUUGGCUUAGAAUGAACCUCACAACCAGACACCACUCUCCAAGAUUUUUACUCCAACAGCCUGGUUUGAUGGGAGACAUCCCAGCCCUUCAGCCUCCAAUUGUGAUAAAUCGCUAAGGAGACCAUUGCCUAGAUCCACACACAGUUCUGAGAGACCUUAACGCUUGCUCCUCUCAAUUCCCGUGCUGUCCCUAACCGGAAUCGGGAACAACUGGAAAAAGACAACAUGGCAAACCGGAUAUUCUUUGCCACCAGCAGGGCUGUGCUAGGAGCAGACAGCGUUAACCAUGCAGUGUUCUUGUUGACAAUGUUUAGCCUGAAUUUCAUCAUGAGGUCGUUAUCAGACACCUGCAGAAUUGAGACCAUUGACCAAGACAACUGGCCUGUCUUCCAACAGUCAAUGCCACCACAAGUAAGACAAGAAAAAGAAGAGAUAUUUUGGGUUCCAAAGGACUGAAAAGAUUAUGUUGUUAUAUUUCUUUGGUCUGUUUGAACCAAAAACAUCUCCUACCUUUUUGUGGUUGUCUGUGGUGGUGGUGACGUUGCCUUGUUUGGAGAGGAAAGGUCAGUCGUCUGGCUCAAUGGUCUACGUUCUGAAGUUGUCUGACCGUUUCCUCGUGAUUAAAUUCAGGCUCA